UAUUACUGUAAGUAUGAAAAGCACUGUCUUAAUUGCUGUCUCAUUCAUAUUCCAUUUCUGUAAAUUGUCAUAAAAAUGACAGAUCAGUAAUGUAUUACAUAUUGUGAUACAUUGCCAUCAAAGUUAGUUAAAACACCAUAAAGCAGAAUUAAAGUAGCCUUAUAAAUACAUAAAAUCAAAAAAUCAGUUUCAGCAAAUGUGAAAUUGGGUGGAAAAACUGAUUUACACAUCAAAUGCAAGUAAGUGUAAACCUUGUAGCUUAUACAAAAAAGUAAACUAUUCAAUAAUAUAAUAAAGAAAAAGUAUUUAUAUAUAAUUUUAAAUAACAAGUAAUCAAUUUUAUCUUAUUUCAGAAGGAAUACAAAUUUUUAUUAAGACAGAUGGAGUAAAUAAUGAUUUUCUGGAAUGUCUAAAAUGUAAUUUGAGCAAAACUUUCAAGAAUGUAAAGUUAGAUAAAAAUAAAGUAGAAGAUGACUUUAUUACAAAAUCAAGUAUUAUACAAGUUCAUAAAAAUAAAUCUUUAAUGCAAGUAGUUAAUGAAGAUUUUGAAAAUUCUACUGUAAUUAAAAAUACUGUGGUGCAUGUUGUACAUUCUGAAUUUAGAAUGGAUGAACAUUAUGAAAUUUCUAAGAAAGUUAAAGAACUUGUCAAAUUGAGAAGAAUUCAUAACAGUUUUAUAUAUUAUGUAUGCUUAAAAAAUGAUGAUUGGAUCUCACAGAAUAAUCAUGUAUGUGAAAUUAUCGCUGAUCUUUUAUUCAGUAAUUCUUCUGCACUAUCUGGUCAAAUUUUUUAUGUAUAAUAUCUUUACAGUUUUAUAACAUUGAGAAAAUAUUUUUUACUAUAAAUCGUAAACUUUUUUAAUGAAAAUAUAAACUUAGUAUUAACAUAUCAAUCAUUAUUAUCUCAAUUACAAUUAUCUAAAAAUUGAAUUAAAUGAAUUUUUUUAAAAUGAGUAAUAACUAAUGAUAACUAAAAUAAUUCAUUUUAAAUUGAUGUUGAAUUGUAAUUGAUGUUAAAAAUUUUUAAACAUUUUUAAAUUAAUAAUAAUAACAUUCAAUAUGGAAAAGGUAUUUCAUGUGAAGAAGAAUAACCUAUGCUUUGAAUACAAAAUUAUAUUAAAAUUUUAAUUUAUUAUUAUUAUUUAUUGUAUUAAGUUUAAUGUUUUUAGUACUGUGGAAUCUAGUUAACUGGAACUAGGAUAAUUCGAAGUCAUUUUCGUUCCCCGAUUAUUUGGCAUAAGGUUUUACAUGUUAAAUCAAACUGGUUAACUCAAAUUCGUCUAACUGGUUAACUGGAAUGGGGUUUUGAUACAGUAUUUUUUAUAAUUUCUCCGAAUUUUUAAUUUAAAUAAAAUAAUUAGCUUAUCUAUCGAAUAAACUAAUCAUAAACUUUCUAUAAAGCGCGGGAACCACAUUAUGACUGAAAAUAAAUAUUAUCAUAUAAGGGUGGAGUGGAGUGUGGUGGCUUCCCCGCGUUUCUUUAUGCAGCGCUUUAAGCGAACACACUGAAACUGGUUUCUAAUUGGCCAACACUGCUAGUGAUGUCAUUUCGCUAUACACUCGCUGUAUAAAGAAACGCGAGGUUCUAGACAGCGUGUGUGACCUAGAUAUUACACUGUAAUUGUCAUUUGAAGUUUCUUUUUUAAACACUUUUUCUUUUUUGUUUUAUUUGAUUGCUAGUAGAUUUCUUCGACUAUCAGACGUAAUAAAUAAAUGAAUUUUUGAUAGAAUCGAACUAAAAUCGGUUUUUAAUUAAUUUGUGUAAAAAUUUUAAACCUUCGGUAAACUUUUAAAAAUAUAACAAUCGUAGUUCUAAAACUGCUGUUCAAAUCAAUUUUUUCCGAACAAAUCACAUAAAUUGAAUUAUGUUAAAAGUUAAAAAGCUUUUUUAAAAGCAUUCGUUUAUUUCUGACUGCAAGGGCAGUAAAUAAAGAAAAUCCAAACAACUUAAGAUUAGUGCUUCUCAAUCUCCGUAUUCACGGAAGAAUGAAGAAAAAGUGAUCCUUGAAUACAGAGAUGCAACAGCCUCGUGUGCACAAUAUUUUGUAAAUAAAAUAAUUAUGGGAACGGAAUUCAAACGCAUUUUUUAAAUUUUAAUAUUUAGACUGAAUUAGUAAGAAAACUAUACUAACAAAAUUUGGUUUUAAUUAUUUUGAAAAAAUUUAGC